rnacentral:lncRNA from 1 species
AUUUUUCCAAAAGUCUACAUUUUUUUUUUCUUGUCUUAUUAUUUAUUUUUAGAGUCAAUUGCUUAUAUAUUCCUGAAAAGUUUCUGACUUUCUGAUUUAUCUCUCUUAGAAGGCUAAUAUUGAAAAUAUUUUUUUUACGUUCCAACCUAUUUCAAAUAUACUUUUAGAGUUAAAAUCUGUUAAUGAACUUUGUUAUUUGUAUAAAAUUAUUAUUUUGCCCUUUCUAAUAUUUCAUUCUAUCAUCACCGACUUUUCUUAUUUGUCCUUAAAUCAGGAGCACAAAAAGUAUUUUGACUUUUGGUCUUUUCAAAUAUAUUCCUCUAUCAUCACCAAUAUUUUUUAUUUAUCCUUAAAUUAAGGGCAAAAUUGACAUUUUAAUUUUUUUUAACUGUGGUGUGGUAGAUAUUUAACUCACGUUUAAUCCAAGUUAACUUAACGGGUGGUAACUGGAUAGGUAUUUUGAAAUAACGGAGAAACAUAUGAGGGAUAUAUUGGAAAGAAAAAAAAAAGGAAUAAAUGAGAUAUUUUCGAAGUUUGAGGUAUAUAUAGGCAAUUAUCUCUUAUUUUUAGUACUUCCUAUUGUAUACGUUCUACGUGCAUUUUCCUUUUCCAUUCCACAUAUGGCUAUAUUUAAUGCGUUCGGUCUCAUUAACUUACUUACGUAAUUUGCCUAACUGUAUCUCAUUUAGAAACUCUCGAAUACACUAAAGGCGUGUUUGGUUCGAAGUCGGAGUCGGAAUCGGAAUCAGAAUCAAAAUAAGCUGAAAUCGGAAUCGGAAUGACUCAUUACCUAAAUUUUGUUUUGUUCAUCACCUGAAUCGGAAUUCAAAUAAAUCAUUCCCAUUGUCAGUGUUUGGUUCAGAUGGAUAUAAAAAAGUAAUCAAAUUAAUAUACUAACAUUAUCUUUAUAAUAUAUUAAUU